UUGAAAAACGCUCGAGGAUGUUGCUGGCCUCGCGCACGUGCACUCCUCGAACCAUUUCUGACCCUUCUCACACCAUGUGCACCUGUUGUAGGUCCGUCGACCUAUGUUUUUUCUCUUAUAAACUCCAUCGAAUGUGUAUGAAUGUACAAGGGCUUAGGCCCUAAUAAAGCACAACUUUCAACAAUGGAUCUCUUGGCUCUCGCAUCGAUGAAGAACGCAGCGAAAUGCGAUACGUAAUGUGAAUUGCAGAAUUCCGUGAAUCAUUGAAUCUUUGAACGCACCUUGCGCCCCUUGGUAUUCCGAGGGGCAUGCCUGUUUGAGUGUCAUUGAAACCCCUCAACUCGACCUUUURGAAGGUCGAGCUUGGAUUUGGAGAGUGCCGGCCAGCCUCGGCUCCUCUGAAAAGCAUUAGCGAGCGACUCUUGCGUCUGCUUUGGCGUUGAUAAACCUGUCUACGCCCCGGGCACGCUCGACGUGUUUGCUUACAGUCGUCUCUAGGGACAACCGUAACCCAACAAUCACCUCAAAUCAGGUAGGACUACCCGCUGAACUUAAGCAUAUC
rnacentral:rRNA from 1 species